CUGUAAGGUCUACUACACCUGUUGUAUUCAGCAUUUCACUGUAAGGUCUACCUACACCUGUUAUUCAGCAUUUCACUGUAAGGUCUACUACACCUGUGUAUUCAGCAUUUCACUGUAAGGUCUACUACACCUGUUGUAUUCAGCAUUUCACUGUAAGGUCUACUACACCUGUUGUAUUCAGCAUUUCACUGUAAGGUCUACCUACACCUGUUGUAUUCAGCAUUUCACUGUAAGGUCUACUACACCUGUUGUAUUCAGCAUUUCACUGUAAGGUCUACCUACACCUGUUGUAUUCAGCAUUUCACUGUAAGGUCUACUACACCUGUUGUAUUCAGCAUUUCACUGUAAGGUCUACUACACCUGUUGUAUUCAGCAUUUCACUGUAAGGUCUACCUACACCUGUUGUAUUCAGCAUUUCACUGUAAGGUCUACCUACACCUGUUGUAUUCAGUAUUUCACUGUAAGGUCUACCUACACCUGUUGUAUUCGGC
ensembl:lncRNA